CGUCAAGUCAUCAUGGCCCUUAUGGGCAGGGCUACACACGUGCUACAAUGGCGAAUACAAAGGGUUGCGAACUCGCGAGAGCCAGCCAAUCCCGUAAAGUUCGUCGUAGUCCGGAUCGGAGUCUGCAACUCGACUCCGUGAAGUCGGAAUCGCUAGUAAUCGCGAAUCAGAAUGUCGCGGUGAAUACGUUCCCGGGUCUU
rnacentral:rRNA from 1 species